AAUAAAAAUAAAUAAAAAAUCAAUGUUUCUGUUAUCAGAAGGGUUCCAUCUGCAUGUCUGUUCACGAUAGUAAUAAUUUGGUUAGACAUGUAAGUGUACACAAAAAUGUGCUUGCCCACUGGGCACAAACAGGAAAUACAUUCACACACUCACUCACACACACACACGAGCGAUGUAACAAACAAGCAGAGAGCCCGUGACCUGAAGCUACACUGCAUCUCCUCUCUAAUGCAAGGACACUGGUGUGAUGUGAGUCUGUCACAUAUUUGCGUGACACAUCCUGCAAGAUAGCUGGGAAGUCAACCUGUGAAAAAUGAGCCUGUCUGUAGUGUUUGUACGAUACCCUGCUGGCUCCCACUGCUCAAGAUGAUGAAACCACUAUGCAACUUCGGAGAGGGAGGGAAGAAAGGAAAGGGAUUACAGAUGGAGAUGUGCUCCAAUGAGCAGGUAGCAAAAACACAAAGAUCUCUCCUCGCUGUUGUUCACGAUGAAAAAAAAGAAAAAAAAUAACAAACAGUUGGCAGUUUGACUAAUGGUCGGGUCAUAACACGUAUGAUACACGGCUGAAAGGCAUUUGCAGGAGGGUUCAUGAGAGGAAUCGAAAUGGGAUGCUCUUUGUCCUCCCUCGCUGAAUGCAUUUUAAAAGUACCCUCCUUUACAAAGUGUUUCCAAUUAUGCUGCAAUCGCCAAAGUACCCAUUCUGAGCAGAGUCUCACUGUGUGAUGGUCUCUCUAAAACGGCUGCUUCGUGGCAAAGCAUCCAAGCUUGUUGAAGUACAGCUCCCCAGAGGACCACCUCUCAAUCUGGAAGCCCUCGUCCUGAUUGGACAAAAAGCUCAGGUUGUCACAGAAACCCUCCAGCACGCCAUAUCCCCGCAAUCUGGUGUGUCAGUAAAGAACCCCCCCCCCUGAGAAAUGGUCCAGAUAAGGUAAAUAAUCACACCCUGUCCACACAUAACCUGUGUUCACAUUUAUGCUAAUGCAAUGGUAAAUAUGCUGUGCAUCACAUACAGAAACCACCCACCACUCAGUUAUACUUUCUAUAUUUCCAUAAAAGAUUGCUCUUCUCCAUUCCUUACUUCUAUAUCUCCUUCUUUCUCUCCCUGCCUCAGCAUUUCAGUUCCGAGGAGGCUGACAGUCAGGCCGACUGCUGGGAUGACCAGGGGAAUUGCUUAAGUUCAGUGAGAACAGUUGUGUCUUUUAAACUGGUUUUCUUUUUUUCCUUUCCUUUUCUUCUUUUAUUUUAUUUUAUUUUUUUAGCCUCCCUGCGAUUGCUUGUUUCCUGCGGAGCUGUGAUGAAUUAGACUGCAGCUUCAGCCCAUUCUCCUACCAGGACCCUGGAGACUGCCGCUCCUAUUCUGAGGACGAGAGACAGCUAGUCUGCUCGGGCCACACGCACUCUACUGUACCGCCAGAUAAUGCACCCUCUCCAUCAUCAGGCAAAUUCAUUUUCCGAGGCUUAGCAAUGCCGUGGGGCUGCGCGUCUAUGUAAGUGAAGCAGUUACAGGGUGUAGCAGGAGUCGCGGAGGUGCUGCGAGGUGCUCGUGUGCAACCCUUACAUGCAAUUACAUAAGUUUCGGGGUCAGUGGUUGGACACCGUGUGGACACAUGACACUGGUGACAGAAUGGAACCACAGAGGUUAUAAUGGUAGAAUUGUCACAGCAGGGGGAAGGCAUGAAAAUCAUGUCUGUAAUAAAACGGCAGCGGAAGUCUAUUGAGGCAAAACUGGGAAACGGUUUCAACCCAAUGACUGAACCAAGCUGAACGGAGGAAAGACUGGGGUGGUUGACUUGCACAUGUACACAGCCAGGGGACGAUGACAAUAACCAACACCACGCCCGUGAUGCCCAAUAAACCAAUGAUUAUAUGAGGAAGACUUUUAUGAAGACCAGCCAUCAUGUUUAUCCUCAGUGUCACUACAGUCUCAUUUACCCAGAACAAACCUGAACCAGGGCAUUUUCAUUUUGUACAUCAGUACACAGACAGUAGUUCUUCCGUUUUGGAAAACUGUAUUCAUAACAUGUUUACAAUGCACACACAUCAUGAAAGAUAUACAUAUGGUUGUCAGUAUAUAGGCCUGUAAUAAUGACAUGGUUCUUUGACAAGGCUGUCUACAGCUUUAAUGGAGAACAAAUUACAUUUCUGCCACCCUAACUGGAAAAUAAAAACUACAUAAUCGCAUAUAAUCUACAUAUAUGAGUAUGCAGAUUAUUAUGUCAUAUAUAUUGAUGUCAUGCAUGGGAAAUUGCAAUGAUAUCCUCGCUGCCUCUGUGCAAUGUAAGCGAACCGAAGCGAACCGAAGCGAACGGGCACAUACAGGUGAUAGACAGUUGCGAUAGCCAAUCACCGCAGGCGUUGUUGACCGCAGGCCUCCUAGCUGGCCUCACGUUGAACGUGACAUGUAUGCGUCCUGUGAUUGGAUACUCGCUUACUGCCGUAAAACAACACGAAGUAAGUCCAAUGCAGAUCAACCGAUUAGCAGAGAGAGAACUCUAAUAUCUACUCGCUUUUUUCUUUUUUAUUCCACAAUGGUCGAAGGAGCGCAAAACGUCGAUUUGCGAACUUAAAUUGCUUAACUAAGGCAGCAGUGAGACACCAAAGCACGACUGGACACUUGCAAGCUACGGUGCUUCUAAAAACUUUUGGGGACACCCGAGUGGAUGCACAGCUCAACGAACAGAUGCGAAAGGGAUUUAUUGUUGGAACUGAAGCGCAAAGAUAAACUGUGCAACCAAGUCGUCGAGGUCUUCCUGAGGAAACAAAGGAGAAUGGAUUUGGUGUUGAAAUAAGUGUUUUGGAGGACAGCUGUUUUGAAAUCAUUCAUCUGAAACGCCGCCCAAUGACACGACAGCUGAUGAAGAACACAGUUAAAGAAACGCACUAAGUCUUCGGAAACAGCUGAAUUGCUUUUCUGCUGCUUUAAGAAAGAACAGAAUUGACUACGGAGAGAGACAACAAACUUCAUUACAGCACGAGCCAACCUGAGCCUGGUGUGAUAUCCUGCCUACAGAUAGGUUUGUGUUAAAUAUAGAGUACAAUAUCCUCUCACCUUCUCACCUCUCUACAGCUGCAAUAUUAUGAAAUAUGAACUGGUGUUGGCACAGAAUUCACUAUGUGAAAGCCUGUAUAUGUGUCUAUGAAAGACAAUGGAAGAGGUGGGUCAGGCUGACCCACUGUGAGGAAGAACACUCUGAUCACAGACAACUAAAGGUUAGAGUAUUACUUCUUACUAAUGGGAGACAUAAGCUAUAAAUAUUUAAUAUAUUCAUGAGUUGAAUACAAACCACGACAUAUGAUUUCAUUAAAUAACAAUACCAGUUAUUAUUCUGUAAACCAGGCACGUGUUGUAAUACCCCCUCUCUAGUGUUAUGAUAAAGCUAAAGGUUUUAACCUGGUAGUUAUAAGUCAGUGGUUCAAGAUUUGAAUUGUACUGUUAAUUCAUUGCAUCUACUGUCUAAAAGUACUCUGGUGCAGAAUGCACCAAUCCAUGACCAGGAAAGUUUCAUUCUUCAUUUCCGUGUUUGUUAAACCUAAACAAAUGAAGAAAUUCACACCUGCAACAGACUGAGCCAAAAAGGCUCAGUCAACAAAUUCUCACAGCAAAAGACAGUAGGGAUUUGGACCCGUCUCCAUAUGCAGAUGAUAAUAUUUUAAGACGAUUAGGGUUGUCGGGACAAAUCUGUUUAAAAAAAAAAUAUUAAAAGACCAUCAACAAACGCAGCGUGCUUGUACUGUAUGCCGUACUCACUGUCCGUUUCUUUCUGCUUUUGAAAAUCUCCACUUUGACCGUGUCCUUUGACAAGGACAGAAUGAACUUGCAAUACUGCAGUGAUGUGUAUUCUCAGUUACCGAAUAAUUAAAAGAGUACCAGAAGAAAAGGAAUUGGAACUAACCAAUUCCCCACCUUCAAGGAAGCAUGUUUAAUCAUCCUCAAAUUCCUUUCCUUUCUUUCUUUCUUUCUUUCUUUCUUUUUUCUUUCUUUCUUUCUUUCUUUCUUUCUUUUUUCUUUCUUUCUUUACUUCCUGCCUUUUUUUUCUCCAAAUGAUAAAAUUAUUUAAAUUUAAAUUUUCACAUGAUCACAGCUCUAUUUAUCAUUCAGUGUUACUGUCUUUGUCAUGUUAAAAAAAAACUUUUGACAAAUUCUUCUGAAAAAUAUGAAGCCAGUGUUUGAGAAGUUGACAGAGCAGGGCCAUAUUAAAAAUUUCAGAAUGUACAGUAAAAAAAAAGGACAAGGAAGGCGCGAAAGAGUGAAAUGAAAAAGAAAAGGCUUAGAAGAAGGAGCAAGGGGCCAGCUCAAGAAAGUGCAAGGAUGUACCAAAAUAUGGUGGAGCUCACUAAAGCUUUGUGUGUGAGAGCUACAGAGCUGGCAGAAGACGGUGCUGCACAUGAACAAAAGCAGCUUACUGCCUACCCUGCACGUCAGCUUUCUCUGAGUCUGUGAGAGCCGAAGGAGAAAAGGGUGCACUUGAGGACUCACCUGCCUGUCCUGAGACAGGAUCCAGAUUUGCUAUGUACAUGUACAAUCAGCCUGCUUUUCUUUUUUUUUUCCUUUUUUCCCCCCAGUCUGGUUUGCAUUAAAAAGUGCUGUGUUCGGUCUUAGUGUUGAAUGUUCUGCGAGAAAAACACAAUAGUUGAAGCCUUAAAUUCAUAAAUAGAUACAUAAACUCCAAAACAUUUAACUGGUGUAUUUGGUAAUGUUUACACUUUAACAUUACUAUUAUGUUAGCUACAGUAGACUCGGGUUGGAAAGGCAAGAAUGGUAAACUUGGAUCUUUUCCACCCUGUGCUGUCGUGUUCUUUUUGUAUGCGUGGCCUCUGUAGUGCUGAUGUGACUGCGGGGGAAGAGUCUAACCCUGUCACUCACACUGACAGCCAAGCUGUCUUAUCUGCUCUCUGUUGGCAACGCUGCACUUUAAUUAGGCUCGAAGGUCAAUCAGCACUUUUUUAUUAAAAAGAAGAAGAAGAAGAAGAAGAUGGGACUCUACCCAAAGCUCCUCAUAUUAAGUUUUGAUAACGCAAGGCAAACAUGGGUAUAAAACUCUCUUGCCCUCCGCCCCAACUUUUAGCUCAACAUUAAUAAUCAGAUAUGUUUGUAUCACUAAUAAGGAGGAGAAGUCAAUCCCAGACAGCUGACGUUGUUAUAUCUUUGAGGCCAGAUAAUAUUCAUUCACUAAUUAAAUCAUCUUCUCCCACAAAGUCAUUGUCAGGGUAACAGAGAGGAAGGGGGGGCUGCAGCCAAUCCCAGCUCUGAUUGGACAAGGGUGGCUGGAAUAGAUUAAGUUUAUAAAUUAAAAAAAAAAAGGUAAAAUAAAUGAAAAGAUAAAUGUUUUACUGCACUUUAUCCACCAGUAUCUGUCUAAAUCAACCAUAACUUAUUAGAAAAGGUCGAAUUAGAAAAACCUAACAAUACUUCAUGCCACCAUCGUGUUGUACAUCAUGUUUCAGGGCUGUGUGCUGUGACAUUACAUCAAGGCCUAGUGGUUGAAUUUUAGCCGCUAGUUAGAGGUGUUUUUCAACAGGAUAUUGGUGUCAGUUUGGUGAAUUUAGCUUCCACUUAUUGGACCAAGUCUGUUAAAAGAGCACAAGAGCUGGAAUAACCAAAACAAGCAAGCUUAUUCACAAGAUUAGCAAUUAGCUUUAACUUAGGCUAACAUCUUUGUAGGAUCAAC